UGGGGGAGUGCAGGAUCCUGGGCUGUAUCCCCUGGUGCCAUGGGAUCCGGGGCCUGCACCACUGAAAUCGCGCUCCCGGGGCUGCGGCUCCCA
rnacentral:pre_miRNA from 1 species